AUUGAACGCUGGCGGCAGGCCUAACACAUGCAAGUCGAACGGUAACAGAAAGCAGCUUGCUGCUUUGCUGACGAGUGGCGGACGGGUGAGUAAUGUCUGUGAAACUGCUUGAUGGAGGGGGAUAACUACUGAAAACGGUAGCUAAUACCGCAUAACUUCUCAAGACCAAAGUGGGGUACCUUCGGGCCUCUUUCCAUCCGAUUUUCCCAGAUGGGAUUAGCUAGUAGGUGGGGUAACGGCUCACCUAGGCGACGAUCCCUAGCUGGUCUGAGAGGAUGACCAGCCACACUGGAACUGAGACACGGUCCAGACUCCUACGGGAGGCAGCAGUGGGGAAUAUUGCACAAUGGGCGCAAGCCUGAUGCAGCCAUGCCGCGUGUAUGAAGAAGGCCUUCGGGUUGUAAAGUACUUUCAGCGGGGAGGAAGGGAGUAAAGUUAAUACCUUUGCUCAUUGACGUUACCCGCAGAAGAAGCACCGGCUAACUCCGUG
rnacentral:rRNA from 1 species